GACAUAGGUCGCAAACGUUAUCCGGAAUUAUUGGGCGUAAAGGAUGCGUAGAUGGUUCAGUAAGUUACUGGUGGGAAAUCGAGGCUCAACCUCGUGGAAGUCAGUAAUACUGUUGAACUUGAGUGCAGGAGAGGUUAACGGAACUUUAUGUGGAGCGGUAAAAUGCGUAGAUAUAUAAAAAGAACAUCAAUAUGGCGAAGGCAGUUAACUAUU
rnacentral:rRNA from 1 species